AGGAAAUGUGUUGAGCCUGCAUUUUGCUCAAUGUUUCAAGCUAUGCUCCUCUGUGGAGCUAAGAAGUCUGAAGUGGGACCUGAAAUGCUGUACACUAAGAACUAACUUUGGGACAGAAUUAUUUGUUCAUUUAUAAAGCUUACAACAAGGAACCUCAACCACUGAGUCAAGCUGCCUUCAGAGAAUGAAGGAAGGAGAUAGGUAAAAGAGGCAUUCCUAAGAUGCAUGCCAGGAUCACAGCUGUGGAUUCCUGACAACCCUUACCAUCCUUCACUGCAUAACCUGCAAAUAAAUGUAACUUUUCUUCUACUACUCUGAAAUGUAAAAUAAGGAUUGAUUGUCUUCAGCCAACUCCACCCAGGUGGUGUACUGGGCAUGAUGUUCAAUGGUAUGGAACAUCCCUUUCCCCAGUCUUUGAUCCCCCUUGGGGAAAUUUGUGAAGAACUGUACUCCAUGGAAGAAACCACUUCUUGUACCAAGAAAAGAGCCGGAUGAGAAAGAAGUGGCAGAGACAAAUUGUAUAAGCAGACCACAGCUCCUGUUAUUCUCUACAUGGCUUUUGUGUGUGUAUGUGUGUGUGUGUGUGUGUGUGUGUGUGUGUGUGUGUGUGAGAGAGUGUGUGUGUGUGUGUGUGUGUGUGUGUGUGUGUGCAUGUGUAGGAGUAGAGGAGCCAGGAAUGAAGGAAUGGAGAUGAGCCACCAAAGAGGAGCAUGGGGGGAAGGUGGUUGUAGUCUUGUUUUUAUUUCUUGUUACACUACUCUUAAUUGGCAAUACAUUCAAUUAAUUUUCUGCAAGUUGAUUCAAUUUUGGCCAUGCUGGUAAUUGGUGACUGAUCUCCCUGUCCUUAUGUCAACCCAUGGUCUUUUUCUUGGUAUUUUGUUCAUCUGUCCUGUUGAGUAGGGGGACAGCUGAAUGACUGAUUAAUGGUGCAGUUCCUCAGUUAAUGAGCAGAAUAUCUGUACAAUCCAGCAUGUUUUCAGAUUUGUUCUUUAUAGUAAGUCAAAUAUGCAGAACAUAUAUUGGAUUCAGACAUAAUAAUCUGACGAAAAAUGGAACUCUAACAUUGCUUGAAUCUAAAGCUCCAGUUUACUCUUCAUUGUAUUAAAAGGACCUCAGAUAAUUUUACAAACUUCAGAAGUUUAACAGAGAAAUAUCUAGCUUGGUUUUUUUCGAACUAAAAUGCAUUUCAACUCAUUAUUGAGUAACUGAAAAGAAAGUGUUGUUUUGAACCAUCUUUAAGCAAUGUGUAACCCCAGUGGACACAUGACAGUGUCUGUAAUGAAAGACACAGAGUGCAUUUUCUUGUCAGGUUUCCAAAAAAGCACUACAAAAAAUGAAAAGCAUUUCUAAAUCAAGGAAAGUAGAAGUGGUGCCUCUUAUCUCAAAAACUAUAAAUCUGUCAGUGCAUUUAAAGAAAAUUAGUAUAGCUUGAAAACCUGAAAAGCAAGGUACAUCAAUGCAAGCUACUUUAGGUGUAACUGAUCACUGCUGUUGAAAUGCAACUGUGUUAUUUUCCCUUCAUUAUAACUAAUGUGGAGAUUUCAAUUCUAGCUGCAUUUCCCCAGAUUUUGUUCUAGUUUGAUUUUUAUAUUGAUUUCAAUAUUUUUCAUUUUUUAAUGGAUACCUAUUUGAAUGUUUUACACCAUCUUGCUGGCACCAAGAUUUUAUAUUUGGUGCUUUGGAGCAAUUGAUACAUUUAAGUACAUUAAUGGAGGCUUUCAGUAAGCUUUUCUUACUUUGGAAAUUUAUUCUACUCUUCUAUGUUAUGUAUUACACAUUUCUAAGCAUUGCAUACAUUUUUCCUGAUUAGACAUUGCAGACUUCCAUACAGGUAUAUUGUUUAAAAAAUGCAUAUAUGAUUUUAAUAUGCUAAUAUUAAUACAUGAAAAAUGCUAGGUCUAAUAUUUGAUACAGUUUUCCGACUAAAGCACCUAUCUUUAAAACAGUAAUAUACUAGUAGAGAGACCAAAAAUCCAGGUAGUUACUUCUUUUGAGAAUAGAAGGUUUAAUCUACAAGAGUCUUCUCAUAUGUCUUUUCUAUCUCCAAUAGAAAUCUGAAGUCUUUGCAAGGAAUGGAAUUUUAAAGACUAUUGCUACAGGCCAAGUGGCUCUCUGGUAUAGUGAUUAUAUUGAUUAUAAAUAUGUGCUUCAGAAUGACAUGAUUUCAAAAUGGAGUGAUGUCAGUUUUCCUCCUGACAGUCCUUUUGUAUGUCUCUCACAGUUAAGGAUUCCCUUCCCUGAAACUAUUUGGCUCUCAUGUUUUUCAUUUGUUUUUGUGGCUGCACAAUACGAAAUCAAUUCCAAGCAAAAAAAUAAAACAUUUCUGAAAGUAGAAAACA